GUAAACUGUUAAAUGCUUUUGUCUUGUCUGUUUUAUCGACAUUGUUACAUUGUCUUUACAAAAUUAAAUAGCUAAGCAUUUGUAAUUAACAUCAACUUGAUGUCUUUUCUUUGAUGACCAAGAAAUUUGAGUCAACCCUUUGGGCCAACAACUGCCUUUGAAACUCGGAAUGAUGGGUCUGCCCCUUUACCCUUUUCCGCUUAAAUACUAUAGUUAAAUUCGCUUAACACCGCCUUUGAAACUCGGAAUGAUGGGUCUGCCCCUUUACCCUUUUCCGCUUAAAUACUAUAGUUAAAUUCGCUUAACACCGGGCUCGAGCCUAUGAUCUAAGACAUUCACAACUCAACCUUUGCAUUUAUGGUAUUUUGUUAUCUCUUUGUGCAUUUAUGUUUUACAAAGAGAUUCUCAAAAUGCUCUGUAAGGUAUUCGUCUAGGUUCAAGAAUAAUGCUCCUAAACCUUCAACUCGCCCUUUUGUAUCUCUUGAAAUGCAUGUGGUGACUGAUUUGGCGCACAAUCUUUCAAGAUAAAAUGUUUUAGCACAGCCGGCCGUCUUUUUUGCCCUGAAAUAUAUAGCCAGUUUAAUGUUUGCAUCAAUAACUUUUUCUUUUAACUGGAAGAAUAAUUUAUUAUAUUGCUGGUUUGCUUUAUUGAGUUUCCUAGGUUCAAGCCGGAGAAUUUUGAGCAUAACAAGCAAGUAUUUGAGAAACUCAAUCUAAUGGCUGCAAGAAAAGGCUGCACCCCUUCACAACUAGCAUUGGCUUGGAUUCUUCACCAAGGAGAUGAUGUAUGCUCUAUACCAGGCACUACGAAGACUAAGAACUUCAAUGCAAAUGUUGGAGCCUUAUCUGUAAUAUUGACUGCGGAAGACAUGAAAGAGCUCGAGUCUUACGCCUCUGGUGAUGUUGUCAGAGGUGAGAGACAUGUGUACGUGUCGUCAACUUGGAUAAAUUCAGACACUCCGCCAUUGUCCUAUUGGAAAGCUGAAUAAGGGUUUGACAGGUGAUAUCUAUUUGGCUUCCUAUGAAUGCUCACACUCUCCAAAAAUAUUGUUGCACCGUUUCGGAUCAUCCAAAAGUGCAAUAUGGGAAAUCCAACACUCCCCCGACAACAUUUUUGAAGUGUCUAAAAAACACUAAUGGUUUUUGUACAUGCAUCAUAUGUAUAUAUGAAGCGAGACGAUCUUAUGGAUUGCUCCUAAAUAAUUUGGUAUUAAACUACCAAAACCUUUGAACUACCUUCAAAUAAACUUUCGUACAGGAGUACUCAUCUUUCAAUUUGCCUUGGUUUGCUAUGCUGCUAGAAUUUUUAAUUUGUUGGUUGAUGACUGUGAGGUGUAUUUGCAUUCAACUAGAAAAAAAUCUUUUGUACGUAUGCUUU
rnacentral:lncRNA from 1 species